rnacentral:rRNA from 1 species
GACGAACGCUGGCGGCGUGCUUAACACAUGCAAGUCGAACGGAAAGGCCCUGCUUGCAGGGUACUCGAGUGGCGAACGGGUGAGUAACACGUGGGUGAUCUGCCCUGCACUUCGGGAUAAGCCUGGGAAACUGGGUCUAAUACCGGAUAGGAGCCAUUUUUAGUGUGAUGGUUGGAAAGUUUUUUCGGUGUAGGAUGAGCUCGCGGCCUAUCAGCUUGUUGGUGGGGUAAUGGCCUACCAAGGCGGCGACGGGUAGCCGGCCUGAGAGGGUGGACGGCCAAAUGGGGACUGAGAUACGGCCCAAACCCCUAGGGGGGGCAGCAGGGGGGAAUUUUGACAAAUGGGCGAAAGCCUGAUGCAGGGGCGCCCGGGGGGGGGUGACGGCCUUCGGGUUUUAAACUCCUUUCCCAAGGGAAGAAGCUUUUUGUGACGGUACCUAGAUAAGAAGCACCGGCAAACUACGU